UACACCAAAACACACACCUUGAGUGUGUGUUCUGGUCGAUGUCUUCCACAGGAGCAAAGGAGUUCCUUUGUUCAACCCUAACUUGCCUAAAUCCAAGAAAUUGAGAGGCCAAAUCAGUCCCAAAUCGAAAUCCAAGCUCGUAUUCAUGAACACCAAGUUGAAAGGAUCACAAGUUUGACGCGUAACAAGCUAGGUGGAAGCUUGGAGUGAAAGCGGGUCAAACAAGUCGAGCAUGGAAGAAAGAGUAGCUCGGAUGCAAGGUAAGUGAAACUUACAUAAUUGUGUAGUUUACUUGUUCAUUCUAUACGUUAUAGAUGCAAUAAUGCUAAUAUUGAAGAUAUGGAUUUCCGACGUGAUUGAUACGAGUCGGAACAUAUAAAGAUGAUAAAAACCAUGUUUAUGGUAAAAAGGGGAUUCGGUAAUGAAAUCCGGGACGGGAUGGAUGUAUGAAUCAGAAGUCAAAAACCAUGUUUUUGAUUUAAUAGGCAACGUUGGGCAUAUAGGCCGAACGGGUCAAAUGGUGGUAAUAACACCAUUUGACAAUAUCGACUAAUGCAAUUGUUAAGUCUUGUGCUAACAGGAGCGAUUAGCGAUUCAGUUAAUUUCGCCCACACUAAGUGCGAUGAUAAAAGCAAGGUAUAAAUUGGGUCUAUAUGUUGACCCUAGCCAGGUACGCAUGCAUACGAUUAUAGUUAACAUACAAACUUGGUCAAAUAGGUAGUGAAAGCCCCUCGUAGUAAAUGAGGGGCUAAUGUCGACCAAAAUUCCCUUGAAGGGUAAAUUGAGCAAACAACUUAUAAAGGUUGUUUAGGAACUUAUCUUGCGAUCUUGUAACCUUUAGACGCGCAUGAAAGUUGUAGACAUAAACUUUCGAAAGUUAAAUGCUUAAAUUGUGUGUUGCCGCAAAAAUAACACAUCCGUAGGAUUAAACUCGGAAUAAAUAGUCCAUUUCGCUAAAUCCACCACAUUCAUAGUCGUGGUGGAAGAAUAGCUAAUAACAAAUUGGUGGAACUAUGAGGUACAUGAGAAAUGAGCACCGUUCGUGCUAAAAUGGUCGUAAAUACCCUUAACGGGUCAAAAUAAGAUUUUAAACGAAAACGGGUAAAUAAUUGUGUAGAACCCCGUGUUCAGUACUUAAUAUGAUUGACAAUAUUAGAAUUUAAGGGUUCAUGAUGAAUGGUGGCCAAACAAACAUGUUUGUUUGAUAAUCACAUAGUCGGGUCGAAAAUUGUUGAAAAGAUAAUAAGCCGAAGGCUUAAAAGUCUCAAUUUUAUUUAAUCCGGAUGUCGGAUUUUAACUCCAUAUGAUGGAGAAUUAAAUUACGGACGCGUAGGAAAAAGAAUCGUGUAAAACGGAUUAAAAACGAGAGGGUUAUGUCCGUUUCGGUAAGAAACAAUGAAAAAUAAACGUGCAGAGUUGACACGGGCGGGUGACUUUUUGACACGGCCGGGUGGCUGGGCUGUGAAAAAUAUAUGUUAAGCUGACACGGCCGGGUGACUUUUUGGCACGGCCGGGUGAAGGGGCUGAAAACAAAACAAAAAUAAUUUCUUGUUUUGUUACGUUAAGCACGAAAGUUGUUUAUACUCGAUUAUUAAAGUGUCAAAACUAAUUAUUUACAUGGUUUUGACCGUAGGUGAAGAUGGACCUAAUCCGGAUGAAGAUCAAGCGGCGAGCAAGAACCGAACACGCGUUAAACAAAGCUUCCGCAAUGUUGUUUCAUCAUUAUUUUAAAACGACGAAUUAAACCACUUUAUGUGGUGUUACUAUAAUUUGUAAAAGUUUUCUUUAAUCCCGUA